rnacentral:lncRNA from 1 species
CUUCUCCUCCUCCUCCUCCUCCUCCUCCUCCUCGCUUCCCUUUCUUUCCUUCCGCUUCUUUCUCUUCUCCUCCUUCCCCUGCCCCGUCUCCCCUCCACCUUCACCGGAGGGCACCUAGUCGUCCAGUCCGGGAGCGCAGGCAGCGGCCCCCGCGGGUGCAUCCAUCCAGUCCAGCCCCGGUGAAGGGAGUGAGUGUGACUCCCUGGAGCUGCCCCAUCCAAGUUCCUGUUAUUUCUGGCUUCCUGUUGGAUUCAGCCAAUGGGAAGCAAGACUUUAUUGAUCUGAUCCAGGGUAUCUUGGGACUGCUGGCUGGAAUUAAGGAAACCGUUGCAUUACUGGGUAAAAACAGAAGAGUGAGAUCACACUCAUGGACUGCUCAUCUUGAGAUUCCUGAUCCAUUUUUAAAAAUCUGUACUAACCCAAUAAAUGUGAUUAAAUUCUUUAUGUAGUCAGCAUUGCAAACUGUCAAUAUUUUUAUGUGUGCAUUAAAAUACAAUUGUG